GAUGAACGCUAGCGGGAGGCUUAACACAUGCAAGUCGAGGGGCAUCACGAGGUAGCAAUACUUUGGUGGCGACCGGCGCACGGGUGAGUAACGCGUAUGCAACCUACCCUGUACAGGGGGAUAGCCCGGAGAAAUUCGGAUUAAUACCCCAUAAUGAUAUUUUAUGGCAUCAUAACAUAUUUAAAGCUCAGGCGGUACGAGAUGGGCAUGCGUAACAUUAGCUAGUUGGUAGGGUAAUGGCCUACCAAGGCGACGAUGUUUAGGGGUCCUGAGAGGGUGAUCCCCCACACUGGUACUGAGACACGGACCAGACUCCUACGGGAGGCAGCAGUGAGGAAUAUUGGUCAAUGGGCGCGAGCCUGAACCAGCCAUCCCGCGUGAAGGAAGACUGCCCUAUGGGUUGUAAACUUCUUUUCCAGGGGAAUAAAAUCUCGAACGAGUUCGGGACUGAAGGUACCCUGGGGAUAAGCAUCGGCUAACUCCGUGCCAGCCGCCGCGGUAAAAC
rnacentral:rRNA from 1 species